CAGAGUGUAGCUAAACAAAGUAAAGCACUUCCCUUACACCGAAGAGACACCCGUGCAAAUCGGGUCGCCCUGA
rnacentral:tRNA from 1 species